CACUAUGCCUAGCCUUAAACUUUGAUAGAACCCUACACCCCCUAUCCGCCCGGGAACUACGAGCACUAGCUUAAAACCCAAAGGACUUGGCGGUGCUUUAGAUCCACCUAGAGGAGCCUGUUCUAGAACCGAUAACCCCCGUUAAACCUCACCCUCCCUUGCUCUUCCCGCCUAUAUACCGCCGUCGUCAGCUUACCCUGUGAAGGCUUAAUAGUAAGCAAAAUUAGUAUAACUCAAAACGUCAGGUCGAGGUGUAGCAUAUGAGAGGGGAAGAAAUGGGCUACAUUCUCUACCUCAGAAUACACGGACAAUGUAAUGAAAAAGCAUUAGAAGGAGGAUUUAGUAGUAAGUAGAAAAUAGAGUGUUCUACUGAAACCGGCCCUGAAGCGCGCACACACCGCCCGUCACUCUCCCCAAGCCACUUUAACCUAUUCAUAAAAAACAACCCAGGCAAAGGGGAGGCAAGUCGUAA
rnacentral:rRNA from 1 species